GAUGAACGCUGGCGGCGUGCCUAAUACAUGCAAGUCGAGCGAACAGACGAGGAGCUUGCUCCUCUGACGUUAGCGGCGGACGGGUGAGUAACACGUGGAUAACCUACCUAUAAGACUGGGAUAACUUCGGGAAACCGGAGCUAAUACCGGAUAAUAUAUUGAACCGCAUGGUUCAAUAGUGAAAGACGGUUUUGCUGUCACUUAUAGAUGGAUCCGCGCCGCAUUAGCUAGUUGGUAAGGUAACGGCUUACCAAGGCAACGAUGCGUAGCCGACCUGAGAGGGUGACCGGCCCCCUGGGAACUGAGACACGGUCCAGACUCCUACGGGAGGCAGCAGUAGGGAAUCUUCCGCAAUGGGCGAAAGCCUGCCGGAGCAACGCCGCGUGAGUGAUGAAGGUCUUCGGAUCGUAAACCUCUGUUAUUAGGGAAGAACAAAUGUGUAAGUAACUAUGCACGUCUUGACGGUACCUAAUCAGAAGGCCACGGCUAACUACGUG
rnacentral:rRNA from 1 species